rnacentral:rRNA from 1 species
UACGUAGGGGGCUAGCGUUGUCCGGAAUCAUUGGGCGUAAAGCGCGUGUAGGCGGUCCGGUAAGUCCGCUGUGAAAGUCGGGGGCUCAACCCUCGAAUGCCGGUGGAUACUGUCGGGCUAGAGUACGGAAGAGGCGAGUGGAAUUCCUGGUGUAGCGGUGAAAUGCGCAGAUAUCAGGAGGAACACCGAUGGCGAAGGCAGGUCUCUGGGCUGUAACUGACGCUGAGGAGCGAAAGCAUGGGGAGCGAACAGG